AUGACAAAUAUCAGUAUAUAUAAAAGUAGAAAACUCAGUCUUCACGAGCAGCUCAUAGAACACAGACGAUCUGUUUGGAUCUCACUUGGAUCUAUUUACUUCCUGAGACCAUUUGAAUGGUUUUAAAAUACAAAAAAAAUGUUAAUGGCGUUGGAAAAAGUAUAAUUUUAACAAGGUGGAAGAACGUGUUAUAUUUUGAAUAAACUUGAGUACAAAGAGUAGAGUUAUAAACCAAGAAAAUGAAGAGCGGAUAGAAAAGAGGACGUACAAAUGCUGAUUUUGGACAUCUUUCAACAAGGAACCCGAACAUUUCGGUGAAAUUUUAGAGUAAGACUAUCUAAUAGGAAAACUACGUUAUUUCAACAUAUAAUUAGUAGAUAGAAAAUAUUUUUUUCUUGCUUUUUACCAUUUGAUACUGAAGCACUUAUGUAAUAUAAACCUGAUCAAAUUAGACCUAUUCCAUAAUAAUAACAUUUUAUAAUAAAUAAUGAUUUCGUUCUUAUUCUAAAUUCAUAAAUAUCUAGUGGUCCAUAGAUGAAAGUGUAAAUGAUAAAGGAAAAAAGAUAAUGUACAAAUAUUUUUCUUUGAUUA